rnacentral:lncRNA from 1 species
CGGCCCCGUAGUCACGUGAUGCGCGCUGUGCACGCGCCUGACCGCGCGGAGUUCGCUCUGGGGUGCUUCAGCAGUGUGCCAGUGAAUCCUCGGGACAAGGCGCCAAAGUGUCCACCCACCCCACUUGGAAGGGCUGGGCAAAGGUUGCACGUGGCUCGUCAAGCCGGCCUUGCCUCGGAAACUCCACCAGUGAUGCGGCUGCCCACGGUGGCCUGCUCUGGGUGCUUAGGGUGUGUGAGUUGCCUCACCCCCCCACCUCCACCCCCCGGCUUGUCGAAAACCGCGCCCUAUCAUUGGAGCCGAGGGAAAGAGGGGUGUCCAUUUGGGGACCCAGUGUGACCCGCGACUGGCGGUAGCUGCGGGGAGGGCACGCUCUAGCUCCUGCGUUUACCAAGGGCCAGGGACUUUAAUGGGUACAGUUCCACCCACUUUGCAAAUUAGGAAAUUGAGGCUUCCCGGCAGGUUAAACCAAGUGGUCCUGCGCGACGAGAAAGAAGUUGAGAUUUGGAGGCAAGCCUUAUUCAGAGGCCGGUCUUUUCUCAUGCAUAGCAGGACAAUGAAGAAAGAGCAGCCCUCCCCACCGUUCCAGGUUAGACAUUUACUCUCAAGCUUAGACUCAUCUUCCUCUCUUCCUUCUUUGCUCUGACAAACCUGGAGCGCCGACAGGUCGCCACACACUUUUUAAGGGGAGAGAGAGAGCACGGAGCUCGGGUGCCAGCAAGGGAGCCAGACACACGCAGAGAAGGACUAUGUCGGGUUGUGUUUGUCACUGAGUGACCACCCCUAGGGUGGGCGGCCACAAAGGGAGGAGACCUUUGAACAAUGACUUCAUACACAAGCAGCCCUGAGAGGAUAGGGUCAGAGACCACCAGGAAAAGCCACUGGAGUCAGUUCCGCUCCCCAGUGCUCGGCCUGCGUUCGGUUAGAAGGACCCGUCCAUCCACUGUGGCAGAGAAGCGCCAGGCCUGGCUUUUGGAGCUGAGUCCCCAGCCUCCCUACCUGUUUUCAAUGAGAUGGAAAUCAGGUGCACGUUGCCCAGCUUCUCACGUGACCUCUCUCUAAAUAAGCAGUAAGCAACUGCAAAACUCAGAAUGCUAAUAAUGGCCUAUAUUGAGUGAAAAGAGCUAAUUUGGGCAAUGAUGUUUCCCUCGGAUUUACAAAAGGGAAUUGCAAAUAACCAAACAGUAAUAGCACUGAUGGGAGAUGAUGCUAAACUUCAAUCAGCACCCGCGUUAGUUAUUCACAUAUUUAGAAGGGAACCUUUUCGACACAGUGGCUGCGCACACGCGUUACGGUGACAGGGUAUGAACAUGGUGGUCAUCCUUGAGGUGUGACAGCCCCAGAAGGAUCUGCAGGAGCUACUGUAGACCAGGUCAUUUCAGGCCUGCUGAGGAGAACAGUGCUCUCCUCAGCCUGGAAGGCCCAACAGUAGUGGAGGACACUACUGUGAUUUGGGCCUAAAGUUUCAUUCAGAGGUGGAAACAAACGGAAGGAAAUUCAGCCACAGGGCACCGCUGCUCCUGAAGAAAUGAAUGUUUUCCUCCCAGAACUGAAUUACUGGUGUGCUGGGACUGGCAAAGACCAUGGAGGCCUGCUAAAGGAUGCUGCCCUCUGUGUGGUGAUGUACCCAAAUUUACCGUCAGCAAAGACCGAGCAGAUGGGGCUAUCUAGUCGUGGACUUCAACACUCCCAAACUGUAAGCUGUAUAAGCCUCUCUUCUGUAUAGACAGAUUCCAGCCUCAGAAAACAGAUAAUGGGUGCAUGGAGGAGACAGAAUGGAUGUGGUAUGAGACUGGAGGAGAGGUCACAUGAAGGAACCCCUUCCGGGGAGAAUCAAGUGGAUCAUGACUUCACAGGAAGUCCCAUUCUCCCAGGACAUAGGCACUAAAGCAGAGAAGUGCGGGUGUUGUCCAGGACUGGCUCUGCCAGCUAUCUUGGAGCUACAGUGGCAGCAGAGCCUCUGUACCCUUCAGGGUCAUUGACUUCUCUCCACUCUGCAGACCUGAGAUGUCUGCAGACAGAAAUGUGGAUAGUCUUCCCUGAUUGCCUUGGGCUGCAGAACCCCAAGGGACAAGAUAUUGGCACCAAGGACUCUGAUGUCACUCAUCCCCUGGGCACACUGACAGUGGCUGUGGUACACAGCAGGAAACUGCUUCAUAAUAGUCCCAGUGGCCCCUCUGCUGACUCUGGAUCACCCUGAACCAAGCCUUUCCACGUUCCAGGCUGACUUCUCUUCCAGGAUGGAAUUCCUGACCUUGCUGGCCAGGGCUAGGGCAGUGGGGGGGGGGGGCAGAUGAGAAAGGGCAUUGGAUAAUCCAGAGAGGUCUGCACCCUCUCCCAGAGAACCACUCCCCUUACCUGGUGAGGAGUCACUUGUCCCCAUCCCCCAUCAGGAAAGACUUGAAAAACCAGAAAAUGAGAGUGCCAAGAUGAACCAUCACAUUGUGUUAAUAUUUUCACACCACUUAACUCUCAUUAAAAUGUACUUUGCUGAAUUUAAUAUGUGAUUUCAAAUGACACAACAUAUUAAGUGCUUAAUAUACUAGAAAUUAUGAAACUAUUAUAGUCGAUGCCAUAUGAAAUAAUUAGAGUGAAUUAAACUUUAGCAGCCGAGUGAAGGCAAGGCUUCAACUUAUAAUAUCUGCAAGUCGCUCAAGCCACCGCUGUAAUCCCCCAAAUAAAUGUCCAGAAAUUAGGCUCUUUAAAUAAAAACUGAAUUUCAUGUGUAUUUACACCACAA